GCCCUUAUGGCGUAGUGGUAGCGUGUCUGACUCGUAAUCAGAAGGUCCGUCGUUCAAUCCGGCGUGAGGGCA
rfam:Aspergillus ustus strain 3.3904 ATSC_72, whole genome shotgun sequence.